GAUGAACGCUGGCGGCGUGCCUAAUACAUGCAAGUCGAGCGAACGGACGAGAAGCUUGCUUCUCUGAUGUUAGCGGCGGACGGGUGAGUAACACGUGGAUAACCUACCUAUAAGACUGGGAUAACUUCGGGAAACCGGAGCUAAUACCGGAUGAUAUUUUGAACCGCAUGGUUCAAAAGUGAAAGACGGUCUUGCUGUCACUUAUAGAUGGAUCCGCGCUGCAUUAGCUAGUUGGUAAGGUAACGGCUUACCAAGGCAACGAUGCAUAGCCGACCUGAGAGGGGGAUCGGCCACACUGGAACUGAGACACGGUCCAGACUCCUACGGGAGGCAGCAGUAGGGAAUCUUCCGCAAUGGGCGAAAGCCUGACGGAGCAACGCCGCGUGAGUGAUGAAGGUCUUCGGAUCGUAAAACUCUGUUAUUAGGGAAGAACAUAUGUGUAAGUAACUGUGCACAUCUGGACGGUACCUAAUCAGAAAGCCACGGCUAACUACGU
rnacentral:rRNA from 1 species